ACAGAUCCUUGCUGCCUUCUGGAGUGGUGUUGCUCUGUGUAGGCAGAUGCCUGAAGCCUUCUAUGAGGAAAAAAAAAGAACGGGAAAGGUCAUCAGAGCAUCCUAAACUCGAUCAGAUAUUGGGAUGGUCCUGCUAACCAUCAUUUGUCACAGUGUUUGUGUCCAGUUUGUCUUGAUCUUCCCCUUGGGAGAAAGCGUUGCCAAAUAUAAAAAUGUUGUCCCUUUACCUCUGAGAGUGAGGCAAAAUUACGACUCAGAAACAGAGAGAGAUGGAGAGGUGGAUGAACAACCUACAACUCUUCUCAUCCUGGCAGGAUGUGAGAACUCAAUGGCCUUUCCACAGCUUUCUUUCCUGGCUCUCUGUAGGGGUAAUUUGGGUAAAAUCACACUGUGGGGCAAUUAAUUUCCAGCAGAUAAUUGGCCAAGCAUACUGGUACAGCAACAAAUGUCAGGGAGAACAUGACUUGCUGUCCAAAUGGCCUUGCGUGGAUGUUCUUCCCACUGAUUUUCUUCACCCCACCUGCCUCCCCAUCCAAGGAAAUGCUACAGCUGGAAGGUGUGAGGUGUUCCUAUGAUGGUUGGUGGUGAAUCCUCGCUGCUGGGAACAAGCAAGACAGAGCUGCAGAGAUAUUUGGAAUGACAGGAAGCCACGAUCCUGUUUGAACCUGAGGAAGGGUGAAUUUCUGUUUUAAAGCACCUUAUCUAAACAGUACUUAAGGAAGGAAACCUUGUGAACUCUUGUUAAAAACUUAUAGCUGUAAUUUAGAAAUUCCUUUCAUCUAGCAUGAAGGGGGUUUUGCCUGGAAGAAACAAGGAUGCAGUGUUCUCAUUUGCAUGGACUGUGCCAACAAAACAGGGAUACUUUUGGCAAUGCUGUUUUCACUUCUUAGUUCUACUCUUUUAAAUGUCUGCAUUUCUCUUGGCUCUUCAGAACUCUUGAAGAUUCACACAUUCCUUGAAAAUGAGUAGGUUUUUUCUGUUUUUUAUGUUAGCAAUGUCUACUUCACUUGUGUUUAACAAUAGGAGAAGAUAACUGUACUCUGUGUAAACAUUCUGCAAGUAGUUUAAUCCAGACUCACAAGGAUAUCUGGUUUCCUAAAAGGUGUCCAUAAUUAUGUAGCAAAGUUCUGAAGAAUGUAAUUCAUCAUCUUAGAAACUAGGCUGGAAUACUACACGACUCUGGUUUAGGUUUGGAAAAGGGAAUGUCAUGAAUCCAGGGGACUCUUUUUCAGUUCAAUUUAGCCUGCUUUGGCUUGGGGUAGUGUACUGGAAUGACAGCAGGGAGGAAGUCUGUGCACCAGUGAAACCACCAGUCCAGGGCCUCCCCCUAGACAUUAUUCAGCUGUCUCUGCCGUUUCUGCAAGGCUCUAGAAGUGGAAUUUUUACCUGGCAUUUGGCUAGGUGCUGGGACUUGUUUUUCCCAUAAUUAAAAGCAGGAUGAUGGCUGGAUGGUUCUUUGCUUUCAUGGCCUUGCUGAAAUUGGCAAGGCACUGGGAAGACUGGAAAAUGUUGUUAAGCCUUUACAGAAUGGUUUGUCUGCUGGCUAGAACAGAUCAGAAGGUGCUCAUUUACUUGUCCGUGAUUAAAAAAUAAGGAAGAAAUGCUGCUGUAUUUCUGAAUGGUACCUUUUAGUUAUGAGUUUGUUGUGCUUUAAAAAAAUCACCAUUUCAGUGUAUUUGUUUAGACUGACUGGACACCAACACCCCCGUGGCUUUCCAGGAGCUUCAGGAGUCCUGACACACAUGGCACACUCAGAGCUGCUCUCAAUGCUGUAGUAGUGGCUCAGGUCUGAUAAAUUAGAGAGAGGGAUGUGCUGAUAAUUUUCCCUUUUUUGCAUGAAAACAUGGAUUUUUCCAUGCCCUUCUUGUAAUUCUGACCUGCACUCUGGCUCUGACCUGAGUAUUUGGGUACCCUGAGCCUACGUUUACUGAUCUGCACCUCCUCCUGCUGCUUGCUGUCUCUUCCUCGGUCAAACUUUGAUUUCCUUUUGGCCUGAGGGAAUUGAAAUGAGGGCAGGGAACAAAAGCCAGCUUUGCCAAUGCUAUGGUGAGCAGAAAGGAAGGAGGGUGUUACUUGGCUUCAAAAUAAAUCAGCUGUGUCUGUCUGCAUGCUCAGAGCAGGGUUCCUCUGUUGAAUCCAUCCAUACUGAUCAUCUGUACCACACUGGAAAUGUUCCCAUUUUGGUGGCUUUAGGAGAAUUCCUCAGCUCAUUGCAGACCACAUCUUUUCCUCUCAGCAUAAGGAUUUUACUUCUAAUUUGCCCAGAAACUGUGGACGUUUAUUUGUAUUUAUGGCAACUUUUCCUUUACAGUGAGCAUUUCAUUUUGCCUCAGUUUGGCCACCAGAUUUUUUAAUAGCUGGAAGUAAAGUGGUUUUAUCCAUGCAGAAUUAGGCACAUUUCAAGUAAAACUGAUUAGUACUUGAUUCAGGACCAGGUUGGAUGGGACCCUGAGCAACCUGGUCUAGUGGAAGGUGUCCUUGCCCACAGCUGGGAUUGCUGCUAAAUGAUCUUUAA